UACGUAGGGGCCUGGCGUUGUCCGGAUUUACUGGGCGUAAAGCGCACGUAGGCGGAUCGUUAAGUCGGGGGUGAAAUCCUGGAGCUCAACUCCAGAACUGCCUUCGAUACUGGCGAUCUAGAGUCCGGAAGAGGUGAGUGGAACUCCUAGUGUAGAGGUGGAAUUCGUAGAUAUUAGGAAGAACACCAGUGGCGAAGGCGGCUCACUGGUCCGGUACUGACGCUGAGGUGCGAAAGCGUGGGGAGCAAACAGG
rnacentral:rRNA from 1 species